rnacentral:rRNA from 1 species
AGGUAAGCUACUAAGAGCGAAUGGUGGAUGCCUUGACUGGUAAAGGCGAUGAAGGACGUACUAGACUGCGAUAAGCUACGGGGAGCUGUCAAGAAGCUUUGAUCCGUAGAUUUCCGAAUGGGGCAACCCAAUGUAUAGAGAUAUACAUUACCUAUAUAGGAGCGAACGAGGGGAAUUGAAACAUCUUAGUACCCUCAGGAAAAGAAAUCAAUAGAGAUUGCGUCAGUAGCGGCGAGCGAAAGCGCAAGAGGGCAAACCCAGUGCUUGCACUGGGGGUUGUAGGACUGCAAUGUGCAAGAGGUAAGUUUAGCAGAACAUUCUGGAAAGUAUAACCAUAGAGGGUGAUAGUCCCGUAUGCGAAAAACAAACCUUAGCUAGCAGUAUCCUGAGUAGGGCGGGACACGAGGAAUCCUGUCUGAAUCUGGGUCGACCACGAUCCAACCCUAAAUACUAAUACCAGAUCGAUAGUGCACAAGUACCGUGAGGGAAAGGUGAAAAGAACUGAGGUGAUCAGAGUGAAAUAGAACCUGAAACCAUUUGCUUACAAUCAUUCAGAGCCCUAUGUAGCAAUACAGGGUGAUGGACUGCCUUUUGCAUAAUGAGCCUGCGAGUUGUGGUGUCUGGCAAGGUUAAGCAAACGCGAAGCCGUAGCGAAAGCGAGUCUGAAUAGGGCGCUUAGUCAGAUGCUGCAGACCCGAAACGAAGUGAUCUAUCCAUGAGCAAGUUGAAGCUAGUGUAAGAACUAGUGGAGGACUGAACCCAUAGGCGUUGAAAAGCCCCGGGAUGACUUGUGGAUAGGGGUGAAAGGCCAAUCAAACUUCGUGAUAGCUGGUUCUCUCCGAAAUAUAUUUAGGUAUAGCGUUGUGUCGUAAUAUAAGGGGGUAGAGCACUGAAUGGGCUAGGGCAUACACCAAUGUACCAAACCCUAUCAAACUCCGAAUACCUUAUAUGUAAUCACAGCAGUCAGGCGGCGAGUGAUAAAAUCCGUCGUCAAGAGGGAAACAACCCAGACUACCAGCUAAGGUCCCUAAAUCUUACUUAAGUGGAAAACGAUGUGAAGUUACUUAAACAACCAGGAGGUUGGCUUAGAAGCAGCCAUCCUUUAAAGAAAGCGUAAUAGCUCACUGGUCUAGUGAUUUUGCGCGGAAAAUAUAACGGGGCUAAAGUAAGUACCGAAGCUGUAGACUUAGUUUACUAAGUGGUAGGAGAGCGUUCUAUUUGCGUCGAAGGUAUACCGGUAAGGAGUGCUGGAGCGAAUAGAAGUGAGCAUGCAGGCAUGAGUAGCGAUAAUUAAUGUGAGAAUCAUUAACGCCGUAAACCCAAGGUUUCCUACGCGAUGCUCGUCAUCGUAGGGUUAGUCGGGUCCUAAGUCGAGUCCGAAAGGGGUAGACGAUGGCAAAUUGGUUAAUAUUCCAAUACCAACAUUAGUGUGCGAUGGAAGGACGCUUAGGGCUAAGGGGGCUAGCGGAUGGAAGUGCUAGUCUAAGGUCGUAGGAGGUUAUACAGGCAAAUCCGUAUAACAAUACUCCGAGAACUGAAAGGCUUUUUGAAGUCUUCGGAUGGAUAGAAGAACCCCUGAUGCCGUCGAGCCAAGAAAAGUUUCUAAGUUUAGCUAAUGUUGCCCGUACCGUAAACCGACACAGGUGGGUGGGAUGAGUAUUCUAAGGCGCGUGGAAGAACUCUCUUUAAGGAACUCUGCAAAAUAGCACCGUAUCUUCGGUAUAAGGUGUGGUUAGCUUUGUAUUAGGAUUUACUCCGAAAGCAAGGAAA